UACGUAGGGGGCAAGCGUUGUCCGGAAUUAUUGGGCGUAAAGCGCGUGUAGGCGGCCCGGUAAGUCCGCUGUGAAAGUCAACGGCUCAACUGUUGGAUGCCGGUGGAUACUGUCGGGCUAGAGUACGGAAGAGGCAAGUGGAAUUCCUGGUGUAGCGGUGGAAUGCGCAGAUAUCAGGAGGAACACCUAUAGCGAAGGCAGCUUGCUGGGACGUUACUGACGCUAAGGCGCGAAAGCGUGGGGAGCGAACAGG
rnacentral:rRNA from 1 species